CCCACCAGCUGCCCCCCAAGACCCUCUCUUCCCUGCUAGGCACCAGAGCUGACUUACGGAGGCGCGGGGGAACACGCACCCCGCCACUCCCCGCCCGUGGGACCCCAGGGGUCUUUCAACAGUCUGUCUUGACAGUGGACUGCCCAAGGCAAGAGGCAGCCAGCUCAGAAGCCAGAUGGGAGCUGGGGGACAGAGACCCAGAGGAUGAACUGGAAGGAGGCACUGAGAGAGGGAAAAAAAGAAGAAAACGGACCCACAUCCUUUUCAGCUUGAGGCCAUGAAGAAAUGGAGGGAAAGAGACAGAGUAAAAAGAAGAGGAGGUCAAAGGAGAACACAGAAAUGGCCAGAGGGGCACAUAGCUCACUCUGGGGGAUGUUAUCUGCCUUGCUGUGAGGACAUUCAUGCAACCCUAUGGAGAGACACAUGUAACAGGAACUGAGAUCCCCACCCUGUGAGUAAGCCGUCUUAGAAAUGGAUUCUCCAACCUCAGUCAAACCUUCGGGCAACUGCAGUCUCUAUGGACAUUCUAUCUGCAACCUCAUGAGGGACUUCAAACUAGAGCCACCCAGAUAAGCCACUUCUGAAUUUCUGACCUACAGAACAAUAAGAUAAUAAAUAUUAUUCUAAGCAAUUAAGUUUUGGUGUAAUUUGUUACACAGCAACAGAUAACUAAUACAUAACUCCAUAAGUGUUUGCUGAGAAUUACCAUGUUGC